UGCCAUACUAACAGGAAAGGGAGAGAGCUUGGUAACAAUAGAUACUCAUUGGGUUUCAGGAAGAAGUAAGGGAAGCAACAUCUCUGUCUCAAGAAGGAAGCACAAAGAGCCCAUAGACAUAACUCUACCAGAAGAUAAGGAGCCAGAUGGGGAAUGAGUAAUUCUUUCUAGAUGAAGUCUAGAAAGGGUCAAGGAUACAGAUCAAAAGAACAUCAAAGGGGCAGGUAUCAGUCAUUACCUCCUGUCAACAUCUGAGCCACUGUCCUACAUCUAAAAGCUCUGUAUAAAUAUAGCCAUGAGCCUUUUCCAUCAGCACUAUUGGGAGAACUUCAGUUCCUGCUUUUAUUCAGUGACUCAGAAUUUCCAGUCUGACUAGUACCAUGAAAUCUCUCUGUCUCCUCUUAGGCAUUUUCUUCUUGGCUGCAAAAGCCACAGCCAUAAAUGAAGAAGAAUAUAGAGGACUCAGUUUUCAGGAGGAAGAAAUGGAACCUGGAAGAGAGAUGAAGGAAGAAGAGGAUGGGGAAGCUGAUCAACUGAUUCUGAAUGAAGAUGGCCCUCAAGACUUCCUCUUGUCCACUCAAGGGCAAAAUAGAAAAUUAACCAUAGAACGCUGUACCUGCAGAAGAAGCUGUCCAAUAACUAAGAGGAAAGGCCUUUGCCGAGGGAAGGCAUAUUAUAUUUGCUGCUUUUAGAACAAUGAGAAACAUGGACCUAUCUGGAUUUCCUUGGGAAUCUACUUAUUGACUCUCCACUCUUCUGAAUCCUAUUCAUGCAAUUAAAAUACCAUCCUUUGAAA